rnacentral:rRNA from 1 species
GAUGAACGCUGGCGGCGUGCCUAAUACAUGCAAGUCGAGCGAACAGAUGAGGAGCUUGCUCCUCUGACGUUAGCGGCGGACGGGUGAGUAACACGUGGAUAACCUACCUAUAAGACUGGGAUAACUUCGGGAAACCGGAGCUAAUACCGGAUAAUAUAUUGAACCGCAUGGUUCAAUAGUGAAAGACGGUUUUGCUGUCACUUAUAGAUGGAUCCGCGCCGCAUUAGCUAGUUGGUAAGGUAACGGCUUACCAAGGCAACGAUGCGUAGCCGACCUGAGAGGGUGGUCGGCCACACUGGAGCUGAGCCACGGUCCAGACUACUACGGGAGGCAGCAGUAGGGAAUCUUACGCAAUGGGCGAAAGCCUGACGGAGCAACGCCGCGUGAGUGAUGAAGGUCUUCGGAUCGUAAAACUCUGUUAUUAGGGAAGAACAAAUGUGUAAGUAACUAUGCACGUCUUGACGGUACCUAAUCAGAAAGCAACGGCUAACUACGUG